CUUUAUGUUUCUGUGUGGGAGCAAACUGUUGAAAUCCAUACUUAAUGUAUACUAAGCUGAUCUUCUGUAUAUUAAGAUAAUCGAAAAUGAAUCUUGAUGUGAAUGGAAGGGGAGGGGGAGUGGGAAAGGGGAGGGUUGUGGGUGGGAGGGACGGUAUGGGGGGAAAGCCAUUGUAAUCCAUAAGUCGUACUUUGGAAAUUUAUAUUCAUUAAAUAAAAGUUUAAAAAAAAAAGUAUCACAUUUACAGUAAUAUUUAAAUCUUCAGGGUCUCUGCCGCAAUUUAUUGAUGAGAAAGAAAUCCCAUCUUCCCGGUAUCUGCCUUCCUCAGUUCUGCAAACAAACCCUCAUCUGUGUCACCGUGUGCCACGCCUGGGUGGCCUGGGCAUCAUUAUCCCGUUCCUUUUCUGAGAGGUGGACUCCAGGAUAGCAGGAGGUGGUUUUUCAUUUUUUGUUUUUAGUUUUUUUUUGCAUUUACUCGGCACCAGAAUCUGCAGUGCGAGGUUGAGUCUGCAGCUGCCUGCUGGUCUCACGGUCCUCCCUUUGCACUGAAUGUGCUUCUUGGCAGCCUGUCGAUGACGGCUCAUGUGAGGCGCAGCCCAAGCUGGGGUGAAGAGCUCCGUCAGGCUCCCAGCAGCCCAUGCGUGGCAGACUUCUUCCAGGACACUGACUGUGCCUCCCUGAGGACUGACGCUCACUCCCUCGGGAAAGCCAGCUCCUGCCCUGGUUCUCCUGGGCCAGCAGAACACCUGCUGCCUUCGUGACCAGGUUUCGGAGAGAGCGUUCUCCCUUGGGUAGGUUGAGGCCCUCAAAGGCUGGCUGGCCCAGGUCCGCGGCUUCCUCUUGAGUAUUAGUCUUCUUUAAGGAAAGAGCAUUUUCUCUCUCAGAGCCGACUGUUUCCUGAGGAUCGCAUCUGUCAAACACGUACGUAUUUCCUCUCUGCCUGCUGUCCUCCACUUAUUGUGUCUUUCUAAUUAGAAGUGUGACAGAUAAGUUUUCAAGGUUACUUCACACUCUGAGCUAGUUCAUUUCCACAGGAUGAUGCAAUUUUUGAGGGCAUUGUCUGUGCAAACACACAAAGGAGCUAAGGACAGUUUUUUGCUAAAUUCAAAGGCUGUCUGAUCUCUGGCUCAGUCAAGAUAACCAGCUACUGUGGAAAAAUGUUUGUUUAGGGAUCACAUUCCACAGGCUGUCAGUCUGUAAGGCUCAAAAUUGAUAGGCAACUCUUGCAGACAAUGAAACUAUCAAUGUGCGUGCACUGAAUGUUUGGCUUCUUCCCUGUCCCCCAAAUCCAUAUACUGAAUGGGAACUGCCAACGUGAUAGCAUUUGGAGGUGACAUCUUUGGGAGCUGAUUAGACUUAAGUGAGGUCGUGAGGGUGGGGCCACUGUGAUGGACUCAGUGUCCGUCUAAGAAGGGGAGGGGACACCAGGGCAUGAUCCCUCUGCCACGUGAGGAUACAGUGAGAAGGCAGCCAUGUGCAAGCCAGAAAGGCCGGCUCUUCCGUAGGGGCCCCAGUGGUUGGUGCCUUGAGCUGGGACUUUUUCAGCAUCCAGAACUGUUGGAGUAAAGUUUCUAUUGUUUAAUUCACCUGAUCUGUGAUAUUUCGUUUUGGCAAGCCAUGAUGACUAAGACAUGCUGGAUAAAUAGAAAUGGAAAAAUUUAUUUUAUUUUGAACUUACCAGUCACGGGGGUUUUAAUAGCUAUUCCAAAUUUCCCUCUACCUCUAGCCUUGAUCAAAUAGUGUAUGGUGUGUAAGUGUUGUUAAAUCUUGUUACCCCCCACCCCCACCACUAUUAAGGAAUCCUGUGAUUAAAGAAUAAGGAACAAAACUCAAUAUAAGAAUAAAAGAUUUUAUUAGGGAAAUUUCCAUAUAGGAUUCUAGACUGGAAUGGGUGGGUGAUCUGGCCAAAGGCUGUAGCAGGAUUUUUCUGCACAGAACAGCAGAUGGGGGAAGAUUUUGUGGUGUACAAAUCUAGCAGGGAGGUGGGGUAGGAGCUGAUGUCAUCGCAUUUCUUGGUUUGCGUCUGGAGUUAGCCCCGGAUGCCCUGCUGCUCUUCCUGCCCUUAUCAGGGAGACUUGUGGCAGUGCUUACGCUUUUGUGACCGGGGAAUGGCCACUGUCGACUUGACUAGCAGCUGACCAGUCUUUCUGAGAUAGAUGGGGACUCAAAACGCUGGGGGGUGUGGUAGGAUAAGGCGCAGGAUGGCAUUCCUGUGGGCUGCUGUCACGCACCGUCAUGGGUGUGAUGCAGGCAAGGAGGAGUUGUGCAUCUAAAGCAGGGCUGUGUCCUAGAGGCUCCUGGCAAUUGUUGGUGGCUGCUGCUGCUGCUGCUGCUGUUGACGAGGGGACUGUGGAGGCCUGGCUUACCCUCAGCAUGACUGAACUUCAGGCACAUUUCUUUCUGACCUCUCUCUGUUCAGAACAUUUACUUUAGAAAUCUUGUAAAUUCUUUCCUACCAGUUUGAAACACAAGUGUAUAAAAAAGCCCUUUUGCAACUUUUCAACUCAGGAAAUACAAUUAUCGUUGGAAUAGCACUCUACCUCACUGUCUCCUUUGGAAGGUAAGUGACUUGGGUCGUGUUGCAUGACUAGCCCCUGCUAUAAGGAUACACACAGUUUCUUUUUCCUCUGGGUAAUGUUAAUGGCAAACCCAUUCUACAAAACUUUCCCACUUUAAGCACCCAGUGCUUGGAAUCCCUGUCACCUUUUGUUUCAGCAAUUGAAUACAAAUUACACCCUGGCCCCCAAUGCAGUAACCUGCGCCAAGGUGGUCUUUGCUUGUUUAAUUUUGUACAGUGCAAUUUUCACUUGCAGUGAUGAUUGUGAUUAUUUUCACGUGCUUGACCCUGAGGCUAGCAGGAUGGUGGUUUAAUGGAAAUCGAGGAGAGCGAAGGGGAACUUGUUGAGUUUGGACAUUUGGGAUUUGGGAUGGUGAUUGACAUUCAAGGGAAGAAACGGUUCUGGGGCUUCAGUGUACUGGCAGUGUUUAAAGCUCUCAGAAGAAGCAAAUGUAGAGAAAUGAUUGGAAGGCCUAGGAUGUGAACUUUGGUGAGGGCAGAGGAAGACUAAGAGUUGCCAGGAAAAAGACAGAAGGGUCACCAGUAAGUAGCAGAAACUCUCAUGGAGAAACGAGCCCGAGUUUUAGAUUCAAGUCUAUUGGUAAAAGCAUUGCCCCAGUGGUGGGGUGAGAGAAGCAGCUGUAAAGGGGGCAUGUGUAGCUGAUAAUGAGUUCAGAAAUUGUACAUAAAUCAUUUCAGAUUUUGGACAAAAGGAAGAAAAAAAUGAGAAGCUGGAGGUUGGAGUAAUUUUUUCCCUAAAACAGGCAAGAUUUAAAGCAUUUAUCAAAGUUAGACUUGGAAAAAGCAACAGCAACGACCACCAAGAAGCACUGGUAUUCAAGAUACUAGAGAGUGAGCUGCUUUUGGUGUGGUAGAAUAUUAUCUUAAUAGAGCAGAGGGUUCGUGUGGCAGAAAGUGGUGGCAGCAGCGGAAGAGGGAGAGCCAAAGCCGAGGGAGUGAUCAAGGCUCAGCAAAUAAGCCCUAGCCAAGAAAAGGCUCCAAGGAGUGAGUGAAGUCUUUUCCAGGAGAGAGUCCUUGUCCGCAACCAAGGAUUGUUAUGGUGCAACUGAGCAGUCUCAGGCAAGGUGCUCAAAUUUUAUACAUAAGGAGUCAUGAUCUUCAAGGAAAAGAGAUUUUGCAAUCUGACUUGUAAAUAAUUAUUUGGGUGACUCUUGCACUUACGCAAACUGGAAAAUCACUGCCCUGAAAGGGUGCUCAUUAGCAGUGACUUGGAAUUGGGACGUGGAACCAGGACUUGAACCCACAUGACUUUCAUGCGAUAUGUGAGUAUCCCAAGUAAUGUUCUACCUGUUGAACCAAAUGAUAAUCCCAUUGCUAUGCUGCUGCUUCUUAAAAGAUUUAUUUAUUUAUUUGAAAGGCAGAUAAAGGAAGAGAGGGAGAGAGAGAGAGAGAGAGAGAGAAUAUGUUCCAUCUGCUGGUUCACUCUCCAAAUGCCCACAACAGCUGGGGCUGGGCCAGGCAGAAGCUAGGAGUCUGGACUCCAUUCGGAUCUCCCACAGUGGCUGGUAGGGACCCAAGUACUUGGGCCACCUUCUGCUGCCUUCCCAGAUGCACUAGCAGGAAGCUCUAUUGGAAGUGGAGGAACUAGGACUUGAACUGGCACUCUGAUAUGGGAUGUGGGGGAUCUUACCCACUGUGCCACAACACCUGCUCCAGCUGGGUCCUGUUCUUAAAGAAGAACACCUCAACCAAUGGUAUUAGGUAGAACAAACAAAAAUACUAAAAGUGAUAUAGUAUUAAAUUGUACAUCAACAGUGAUGGUAAGGGCUGAUCAAGUCAUUGUUUCUCAUAGUGUCCAUUUCACUUCAACAGGUUUCCUUUUUGAUGCUCAGUCAGUUGUCACCGAUCAGGGAGAACACAUCAUAUUUGUCCCUUUGGGACUGGCUUAGUUCAUUCAGCAUGAUGUUUUCCAGGUUCUUCCAUUUUGUUGCAAAUGACCGGAUUUCAUUGUUUUUUUACAGCUGUAUAGUGUUCUAUAGAGUACAUGUCCUAUAAUUUCUUUAUCCAGUCUACUGUUGAUGGGCAUUUGGGUUGGUUCCAGGUCUUAGCUAUUGUGAAUUGAGCUGCGAUAAACAUUAAGGUGCAGACAGCUUUUGUGUUUGCCAAGUUAAUUUCCUUUGGGUGAAUUCCAAGGAGUGGGAUGGCUGGGUCGAAUGGUAGAGUUAUAUUCAGGUUUCUGAGGAAUCUCCAAACCGUCUUCCAUAGUGGCUUGACCAGUUUGCAUUCCCACCAACAGUGGGUUAGUGUCCCUUUUCCCCCACAUCCUCACCAGCAUCUGUUGUUGGUAGAUUUCUGAAUGUGAGCCAUUCUAACUUGUUCCACUUAAUACCAUUGGUUGAGCUAUGUAAUUAACACACAAUUAUUCCUAGGUGUUUAAAUUUAACUGAAAAGUGAUCCCUGUUAAAUAUAACAGUGGGAAUAAGAGAGGGAGGAGACGUACAAUUUGGGACAUGCUCAAUCAGACUUGCCCCAAAUGGUGGAGUUAGAAACAUGCCAGGGGAUUCCAAUACAAUCCCAUCAAGGUGGCAUGUACCAACGCCAUCUCACUAGUCCAAGUGACCAAUUUCAGUUCACAAUUGAUCACACUGAUAGGUCUAAGAGUCAAAGGGAUCACACAAACAAGACUAGUGUCUGCUAAUACUAACUGAUAGAAUCAAAAAGGGAGAGAACAAUCCAACAUGGGAAGUGGGAUACACAGCAGACUCAUAGAAUGGCAGAUGUCCUAAACAGCACUGGCCUCAGAAUCAGCCCUUAAGGCAUUCAGGUCUGGCUGAAGAGCCCAUGAGAGUAUUUCAGGCAUGGAAAGCCAAGACACUCUGGCAAAAAAACAAAAAACAAAAAACAAAAAGAAAAAACAAACAACAAAAAAACAAAACACAACAACAAACUAAAUGAAAGAUCUGUGCGAAUGAGAUCCCAGUGGAAAGAACGGGGCCAUCAAAGAAGGAGGUACCUUUCUUUCUCUGAAGGGAGGCGAGAACUUCCACUUUGACCAUGGCCUUGUCAAAAUAAGAUCAAAGUUGGCGAGCUCAGGGGGCUUCCAUAGCCUUGGCAACUCAUGACUAGAGCCUGGGGAGACUGCUGAUGCCUUAAACAAGAGUGUCAAUUUGUUAAGUCAACAACAGGAGUCACUGUGCACUUACUCCUCAUGUAGGAUCUCUGUCCUUAAUGUGUUGUUCAAUGUGAAUUAAUGAUAUGAAUAGUGCUCAAACAGUAUUUGGCAAUUUGUGCUCUGUGUGGGUGCAAACUGAUGAAAUCUUUACUUAAUAUAUGCUAAAUUGAUCUCCUGUAUAUAAAGAGAAAUGAAAAUGAAUCUUGAUGUGAAUGGAAUG